UGACACAUGAUGUGGGAGCUUUACCUUUGAUUCUGAGACAUGAAGAUUUCCUCUUAUGCCUACCCCAGAGCCGGUUCUGAGGGGAGGAAACAGGAUGCAAAGUAAUCAGUAUUUCUCAAUGAAUUUUCAAAAACAUCUCCUACUGUUGUGACCCAGUCCUCUGUGGUGGUUUUCUGAUGGACCAUGACUUGCUCUUGGAUUCUGCUGACUGGGUGAGGUAAAGAGAGGCAAAGAUAAGCAUCAUUCAGCUGUCACCCUUCUGCCCUUGGGGAGUUCUUUCGCUGAAGCUGUCUGGAGCAUAUGUAAAGGUUGAAUACGUGCAAUCUUGAAUAAUACCUAUGUAAGGAACAACGUUGGAUUCACGUACCUGAUUGUAGAGCAAUGGUAACUUGUUUCACUGAUAGCUCUGGGAAAGGACAUAAUGAAUGCCCUUGGUUGGCUUUCUCCUCUUCAUUUUGUGCUCACAAAGACUGAAGUAUUUCAGCAUACUGAUGGACAAUGGACUGCCAGUGCAGACAGACAUCCAAAUUCAUCUUGGAAGAGUCAAGUUCUUAACUGUAGCAAAAAUAGCAAUUAUUUAUGGAGCAGCAUUAUAAUAGGCAUUAUGAAUUUGCAGAAGUCUUCACUGCACACAAAAUAUCAUUUUACUUGUACUAGAAAUUUCAUUUUUUUACAUUUUCUAGGUAGUUUGUUGUCUUCUUCAAACAGAGGCUGGUUUUCCUAGACAGGAGAAGGUAUUUUGCUGUG
ensembl:lncRNA